UGGGGAAUAUUGCACAAUGGGCGCAAGCCUGAUGCAGCCAUGCCGCGUGUGUGAAGAAGGCCUUCGGGUUGUAAAGCACUUUCAGCGAGGAGGAAGGGUUCAGUGUUAAUAGCACUGUUCAUUGACGUUACUCGCAGAAGAAGCACCGGCUAACUCCGUGCCAGCAGCCGCGGUAAUACGGAGGGUGCAAGCGUUAAUCGGAAUUACUGGGCGUAAAGCGCACGCAGGCGGUUUGUUAAGUCAGAUGUGAAAUCCCCGCGCUUAACGUGGGAACUGCAUUUGAAACUGGCAAGCUAGAGUCUUGUAGAGGGGGGUAGAAUUCCAGGUGUAGCGGUGAAAUGCGUAGAGAUCUGGAGGAAUACCGGUGGCGAAGGCGGCCCCCUGGACAAAGACUGACGCUCAGGUGCGAAAGCGUGGGGAGCAAACAGG
rnacentral:rRNA from 1 species